rnacentral:rRNA from 1 species
AGUGAACGCUGGCGGUAGGCCUAACACAUGCAAGUCGAACGGCAGCACAGUAAGAGCUUGCUCUUACGGGUGGCGAGUGGCGGACGGGUGAGGAAUACAUCGGAAUCUACUUUUUCGUGGGGGUUAACGUAGGGAAACUUACGCUAAUACCGCAUCCGACCUACGGGUGAAAGCAUGGGAUCUUCGGACCUUGCGCGGUUGAAUGAGCCGAUGUCGGAUUAGCUAGUUGGCGGGGUAAUGGCCCACCAAGGCGGCGAUCCGUAGCCGGACUGAGAGGAUGAUCGGCCACACUGGAACUGGGACACGGUCCAGACGCCUACGAGAGGGAGCAGUGGGGAAUAUUGGACAAUGGGCGCAAGCCUGAUCCAGCGAUACCGCGUGGGUGAAGAAGGCCUUCGGGUUGUAAAGCCGUUUUGUUGGGAAAGAAAAGCAGCAGGUUAAUACCCCGCUGUUCUGACGGUACCCAAAGAAUAAGCACCGGCUAACUUCGUG